AAAUUGAAGAGUUUGAUCAUGGCUCAGAUUGAACGCUGGCGGCAGGCCUAACACAUGCAAGUCGAACGGUAACAGAAAGCAGCUUGCUGCUUUGCUGACGAGUGGCGGACGGGUGAGUAACGUCUGGGAAACUGCCUGAUGGAGGGGGAUAACUACUGGAAACGGUAGCUAAUACCGCAUAAUGUC
rnacentral:rRNA from 1 species